UGGGGGAUAUUGCACAAUGGGCGAAAGCCUGAUGCAGCGACGCCGCGUGGGGGAUGAAGGCCUUCGGGUUGUAAACUUCUUUUGCUCUGAACAAGGCGCACCGUGGGGUGUGUUGAGUGUAGGGGUUGAUUAGCGCCGGCUAACUACGUGCCAGCAGCCGCGGUAAUACGUAGGGCGCGAGCGUUGUCCGGAAUUAUUGGGCGUAAAGGGCUUGUAGGUGGCUGGUUGCGUCUGUCGUGAAAGCUCAUGGCUUAACUGUGGGUUUGCGGUGGGUACGGGCUGGCUUGAGUGCAGUAGGGGAGGCUGGAAUUCCUGGUGUAGCGGUGGAAUGCGCAGAUAUCAGGAGGAAUACCGGUGGCGAAGGCGGGUCUCUGGGCUGUUACUGACACUGAGGAGCGAAAGCAUGGGGAGCGAACAGG
rnacentral:rRNA from 2 species